rnacentral:rRNA from 1 species
AACGUAGGAGACAAACGUUAUCCGGAGUUACUGGGCGUAAAGGGCGUGUAGGUGGUUACGUAAGUCUGGCGUGAAAUUUCUCGGCUUAACCGAGGCAGGUCGUCGGAUACUGCGAGACUAGAGGACGGUAGAGGCGUGUGGAAUUCCGGGUGUAGUGGUGAAAUGCGUAGAGAUCCGGAGGAACACCAGUGGCGAAGGCGACACGCUGGGCCGUACCUGACACUGAGGCGCGAAAGCUAGGGGAGCAAACGGG